UACCAGACUCCUACGGGAGGCAGCAGUGGGGAAUAUUGCACAAUGGGGGAAACCCUGAUGCAGCAACGCCGCGUGAGUGAAGAAGUAUUUCGGUAUGUAGAGCUCUAUCAGCAGGGAAGAAAAUGACGGUACCUGACUAAGAAGCCCCGGCUAACUACGUGCCAGCAGCCGCGGUAAUACGUAGGGGGCAAGCGUUAUCCGGAUUUACUGGGUGUAAAGGGAGCGUAGGCGGUUCUGCAAGCCAGAUGUGAAAGCCCGGGGCUCAACCCCGGGACUGCAUUUGGAACUGUAAGGCUAGAGUGUCGGAGAGGCAGGCGGAAUUCCUAGUGUAGCGGUGAAAUGCGUAGAUAUUAGGAGGAACACCAGUGGCGAAGGCGGCCUGCUGGACGAUGACUGACGUUGAGGCUCGAAAGCGUGGGGAGCAAACAGGAUUAGAUACCCCAGUA
rnacentral:rRNA from 1 species